UGAACGCUGGCGGUAUGCUUAACACAUGCAAGUCGAACGGAAACGAUACUAGCUUGCUAGUAGGCGUCGAGUGGCGGACGGGUGAGUAACGCGUAGGAAUCUGCCUGAUAGUGGGGGAUAGCCCGAAGAAAUUCGGAUUAAUACCGCAUAAUCUAUUCGUAGUAAAGUGGGGGACUUUCGAGCCUCACGCUAUCAGAUGAGCCUGCGUAAGAUUAGCUUGUUGGUAGGGUAAAAGCCUACCAAGGCGACGAUCUUUAGCUGGUCUGAGAGGAUGAUCAGCCACAUCGGGACUGAGACACGGCCCGAACUCCUACGGGAGGCAGCAGUGGGGAAUAUUGGACAAUGGGGGCAACCCUGAUCCAGCAAUACCGCGUGUGUGAAGAAGGCCUGAGGGUUGUAAAGCACUUUCAAUUGUGAAGAAAAGUUAGCGGUUAAUAACCGUUAGCCUUGACGUUAACUUUAGAAGAAGCACCGGCUAACUCCGUGCCAGCAGCCGCGGUAAUACGGAGGGUGCAAGCGUUAAUCGGAAUUACUGGGCGUAAAGCGUGCGUAGGCGGUUUAUUAAGUCAGAUGUGAAAGCCCCGGGCUUAACCUGGGAACUGCAUUUGAAACUGGUCAACUAGAGUAUGGUAGAGGAAAGUGGAAUUUCUGGUGUAGCGGUGAAAUGCGUAGAUAUCAGAAGGAACAUCAAUGGCGAAAGGCAGCUUUCUGGACCAAUACUGACGCUGAGGUACGAAAGCGUGGGUAGCAAACAGGAUUAGAUACCCCUGGUAGUCCACGCCGUAAACGAUGAUAACUAGCCGUUGGAGGGAUUUACCCUUUAGUGGCGAAGCUAACGCGUUAAGUUAUCCGCCUGGGGAGUACGGCCGCAAGGUUAAAACUCAAAGGAAUUGACGGGGACCCGCACAAGCGGUGGAGCAUGUGGUUUAAUUCGAUGCAACGCGAAGAACCUUACCUGGUCUUGACAUCCUGCGAACUUUCUAGAAAUAGAUUGGUGCCUUCGGGAACGCAGUGACAGGUGCUGCAUGGCUGUCGUCAGCUCGUGUCGUGAGAUGUUGGGUUAAGUCCCGUAACGAGCGCAACCCCUAUCCUUAUUUGCCAGCACAUCAUGGUGGGAACUAUAAGGAGACUGCCGGUGAUAAACCGGAGGAAGGCGGGGACGACGUCAAGUCAUCAUGGCCCUUACGACCAGGGCUACACACGUGCUACAAUGGGAAGGACAAAGAGCCGCGAAGCCGCGAGGUGUAGCUAAUCUCAUAAACCUUUUCGUAGUCCGGAUUGGAGUCUGCAACUCGACUCCAUGAAGUCGGAAUCGCUAGUAAUCGUAGAUCAGAAUGCUACGGUGAAUACGUUCCCGGGUCUUGUACACACCGCC
rnacentral:rRNA from 1 species